UACGUAGGGUGCAAGCGUUGUCCGGAAUUAUUGGGCGUAAAGAGCUCGUAGGCGGUUUGUCGCGUCGAAUGUGAAAACCCGGGGCUCAACCCCGGGCCGCAUUCGAUACGGGCAGACUAGAGUUCGGUAGGGGAGUCUGGAAUUCCUGGUGUAGCGGUGAAAUGCGCAGAUAUCAGGAGGAACACCGGUGGCGAAGGCGGACUUC
rnacentral:rRNA from 1 species